rnacentral:snoRNA from 1 species
GGAUAUGAUGAUAAAUCAACCUGUCGAUUAUAACUGUUUAUAGAAUACCGGAUA